rnacentral:rRNA from 1 species
UACGUAGGGGGCAAGCGUUGUCCGGAAUCAUUGGGCGUAAAGCGCGUGUAGGCGGUUCGGUAAGUCGGCUGUGAAAGUCCAGGGCUCAACCCUGGGAUGCCGGUCGAUACUGCCGGACUAGAGUUCGGAAGAGGCGAGUGGAAUUCCCGGUGUAGCGGUGAAAUGCGCGGAUAUCGGGAGGAACACCAAUGGCGAAGGCAGCUCGCUGGGACGUUAUUGACGCUGAGACGCGAAAGCGUGGGGAGCAAACAGG